GGCAUGUGGCUCAGUAGUAGAGCAUUUGCCCAACAAGCAUGAGGCCUUGGGUCCCAACCCCAUCACUGCCA
rnacentral:tRNA from 1 species